GAUGAACGCUAGCGGCAGGCCUAACACAUGCAAGUCGAGGGGUAGAGUUAGCUUGCUAACUUGAGACCGGCGCACGGGUGCGUAACGCGUAUGUAAUCUACCUUAUACUGAGGGAUAGCCCGGAGAAAUCCGGAUUAAUACCUUAUAGUAUAUUAAAGUGGCAUCAUUUUGAUAUUAAAGAUUUAUUGGUAUAAGAUGAGCAUGCGUCCCAUUAAUUAGUUGGUGUGGUAACGGCACACCAAGACGAUGAUGGGUAGGGGUCCUGAGAGGGAGAUCCCCCACACUGGUACUGAGACACGGACCAG
rnacentral:rRNA from 1 species